UACGUAGGGUGCAAGCGUUGUCCGGAAUUAUUGGGCGUAAAGAGCUCGUAGGCGGUUUGUCGCGUCUGCUGUGAAAACUGGAGGCUCAACCUCCAGCCUGCAGUGGGUACGGGCAGACUAGAGUGCGGUAGGGGAGAUUGGAAUCCUGGUGUAGCGGUGGAAUGCGCAGAUAGUCAGGAGGAACACCGAUGGCGAAGGCAGAUCUCUG
rnacentral:rRNA from 1 species